AACCAUCUGUGACUGGAGCCAUGACGCAGCCAGCGCACAUUACUCACUUUUACAGUCACGACUUGGAAAUCCGUGCAGUUUCCAACCAAAAUUACACCGCCACCAUUGAAUUAUUUAAUAGGAUCCAGUUAAGGGAUCCGCAACUGUCGCUGGGCUUGGAGUGCCAGACAAUAACAUGGCAAACUACUGCUAGUGAUACAGCAACAUUGGGAAAAAUCACACCGCUAUUACAGAUCACAUCAUAGGCGUCGCCAGGCGCAGGGAGAGAUUUGGCUUUUUAAAAUAGCCGACGAGCCCUCUUUGUUAUUAGGCAGCAGCCAGAAAGCACGAUCAGAGGCGUUGCCAGUGGCACAUCCGCGCACGCCCCAACCCAGGACUUGUCUCUCUAGGCUAGAGAGAGCUGGUACAUUACAACCCUCGCACAGAACUCCAGCCCUGGACAUUCUUUUUAGCAAGUGCGCAUGGAGGGAUGGCCUUUGCUGCAGGGCUGAGUCCUGCAGGCAGGAGGACACUAGUACUUGUCCUGAAGAGAGCUCGUGUCACAUGAGGGCCUCAGAUGCGGACACGCAGGCAGCCGUAAAACAUGCCAUCUUCGAGGAGUUUCAAGGAAGAGCAGCGCUGAUGAACGGAAAUGGUAGGCUAAGCAUGUGUUUAAGGAGGCACACGCAUCUACCGAAGCCUUGCCUGGCUCCCGGAUGUAAAAGAGGAGUUUGCCAGGGUCUUACACGAAUGGGGUGAUGACUACAUGCGCCCGAAUCUCCCUCCCCACUUUGUAUGUUUAAAGUUCCCUCUCCUAGUCUGUGGAGAUGGAGGAGAAUGCAAUGGAAGGGCUCAUUGUCCUGAACUUGUUUCCGUUGAUAUGAGAAGACGCAGGCGCAGCUGUGUAGCUAGGAUUAACCUGGUGAUAAACCAUAGGGUAUGAAUAGGGAACCACUGCAAACCCUCCGUAACAGCAGAAGGGCUGCCUCCUCUUUCAGUCCCUACCUCUUCCCCUUCUUCUGACUGAUUUUUUUUAAACUCACCUAUUGCAUUCCAAGAACUAACUUGUUCCUCUUCCACAGGAUUUGAAACAUCUUCUGAAUAAACCAGGAGGGUGCCUGCCUUUUCCAACAAGAACCAAACCUCUCCCAUAAGAACAGUCCCUGUUAGCAGAAGUGUGUAAUUUCCACCUCAGCAGGACAGCUCUCUAUCUUCUCUACCUGCUGCUAGACACCCAACUCAAGGCUGGGCUAAAGCGAAGUACAAUGCCCUGGGAAUCACUUGUUUCAAAUAAAUAAAACAACAACAAUGGAACUGAUCCAAAUGAAAGGAAAGGAAAGAACCUUUGGCAGGUGAUGCUGUACCUUGCAAACAACAGUUCCCACUUCUUCUGAUAAAUGCUAAAUGGAGAAUUUAUCUUCCAUCUUCAUAUUUUAGCCUCAUCAGCAAUCUCUUGGUUCCAGAGAAUUAAGCCUCCCUAACAACUGGGGCAUAAUUAAAUCAAUGGAUUCUGUAUUCUUCUCUCGAACUGGAAGGGAAAUUUCACUGUUACCAGAAGGAACAGUGAGUAUAGAUACAUGGCACUCCACAUAGAACUGGAAAACUAUCCAAGGUGCUGAACUAUGGCAUGAUGCUCUUUGAUGUGUACUACCUGCGAAGCAGACCAUUCUGACUCUUGAAACCUUCCAGGGCUCUCCGCAUUCCAAGGACAGUGGCAUUGGUACAACAAACAUCAGUUAUCAGUAUGUACAGUUUAUGUUCAAAAGACACCUUUGGCCUGUUAAACACAAACUAAUUCAGUUACCCUGGGCAGGGGGCAGACUAGCAAGUGCAGCCUGCCCUUGAGACAUUCAUGAGUAGGGGCACUCUUUUUGAAAGGGAUGGGGAAAUCCCAUCUUUCCUUUUGAUCCUUCAACCUCAAGGCCACAUCAUGAAAUAAGGAUCCUUCUGGAUGGGUAGUAGUCUUCAGCUGAGCCGGUCUUAUCAAGACCAGAAUCAGUCAGAGGAAGCACUGCAGAAUGAUGGGGAAAGUGCCCUCAUGUUCUCCUUGCUAGUUUGAGUGCUACUUCCUCAAUGCCCCCAACCCUGCCAGGGAUCACAUCCCAGUCAUGAAUAUAAUUUACAGCAUUCUCCUAAACCAGGGUGACACCCAACCGUAUUUUGAUUUCAUUCUCCAAUUGACAAUAGCGGAUUGACUCUUACUACUUUACAAACAGAAGGGGAGUAUGGGGUGACCAGAAGUAAAGAGGGUAGCACCAUGAUGAUAAGGUCUAGGACUUUCUUUACUUGGGGUCAGAUUUUCCAGAGCUCAGCAUGCAGUGGCCCCCAUUAAGAAAUGAGCUGUUUCUAUGUAAUUAAUCACUGCCGCACAUUUCUUUAAAAAUAAAGAACAACAAAA